rnacentral:rRNA from 1 species
GGGCCCGCACAAGCGGUGGAUGAUGUGGAUUAAUUCGAUGCAACUCGAAAAAACCUUACCUACUCUUGACAUACUUGGGAGCUCUUGUAAUGAGAGUGUGCCUUUUGGAACCAAGAUACAGGUGCUGCAUGGCUGUCGUCAGCUCGUGUCGUGAGGUGUCAGGUUAAGUCCUAUAACGAGCGCAACCCCUACCGUUAGUUGCCAGCGUGUAAUGACGGGGACUCUAACGGAACUGCCGGUGCAAACCGUGAGGAAGGUGGGGACGACGUCAAAUCAUCACGGCCCUUACGUCCUGGCCACACACGUGCUACAAUGGUAGGUACAGAGGGAAGCCACCCCGCGAGGGGGAGCGGA